UACAGAGGUCCCAAGCGUUGUUCGGAUUUACUGGGCGUAAAGCGCGCGUAGGCGGAUCGCUAAGUCAGGGGUGAAAUCCCAGGGCUCAACCCUGGAACUGCCUUUGAUACUGACGAUCUGGAGAUCGGGAGAGGUUGGUGGAAUUCCGAGUGUAGAGGUGAAAUUCGUAGAUAUUCGGAGGAACACCAGAAGCGAAGGCGGCCAACUGGCCCGAUACUGACGCUGAGGCGCGAAAGCGUGGGGAGCAAACAGG
rnacentral:rRNA from 1 species